GGCAACACGAAAAUAAGUGUACUGCCCAAAUAUAUAUAAUUUCUUUUACUCGCGACAAACAACAGUUUGUUAACUCGCGCGUGUGCCUUGAGUCUUGACUCGUAAGAAAGAAAAAAACGAAGUGAAGGCGGCUGGAGUUGUCCGUCCCUUUUGUGAAAGUUGUUGUGUUCUGGUUGGUAGUGUGGUGUCAUAUUUGAGUGUAUUGGUGUGAGGUGUAGUGAUGUGGAAGAAUAUAUUUCCGUAAAUAUCCUGUGAAAUCGGGAAGGUCGUAUCUUGAAUAGUUUUCGGAUGGCAGCGUUCUAAAGAGCGACCGCUCGUAGGUACAAACAUACAUAAGUGAAACUUUAAACGCGUUUUUCUCGAAACGCAAUUUUUCAAAAUUGCUGAUAUCAUAACUCAACGACAAAUUGACCGAUCGACUUCAAAUUAAAACUGACUACUCAUUCGGCCGGAAUCAUGCCAGCAGUUGGGGCACUUUUUUUUGGCACCUCCGAAGACAGCCCAUAACUACUUUAUUUUUCAACAUUUUUGUAAAAAAAAAUCUUAAAAUAUAGCUGAAAAUAUACCUUAUAACGAUCAAAGAAGUUCAAAAUA